rnacentral:rRNA from 1 species
UACCAGCUCUCCGAGUGGUGUGGAUGUUUAUUGGGCCUAAAGCAUCCGUAGCUGGCUGGGCAAGUCCCCUGUUAAAUCCACCGAUUUAAUCGUUGGUGUGCGGGGGAUACUGUUCGACUAGGGGACGGGAGAGGCCGACGGUAUUUUCGGGGUAGGGGUGAAAUCCUAUAAUCCCGGGAAGACCACCAGUGGCGAAGGCUGUCGGCUAGAACGCGCCCGACGGUGAGGGAUGAAAGCUGGGGGAGCGAACCGGAUUAGAUACCCGGGUAGUCCCAGCUGUAAACGAUGCAGGCUAGGUGUUUGGGCGGCCACGUGCCGCUCUAGUGCCGCAGAGAAGUCGUUAAGCCUGCCGCCUGGGGAGUACGGCCGCAAGGCUGAAACUUAAAGGAAUUGGCGGGGGAGCACCACAAGGGGUGAAGCUUGCGGUUU